UUUCUACCCGGUGAUGUAUUUUUUGGCUUUGGUGUUUUUGCGCUUAAUGUUGUGUUUAGGCGCUUAAGGUAUUAUGUUCCAAGACAUUACUACUCCAUUGCUUUUUGUUGUUGCAGGAAAUCGUGCCACUUGAGGAAGUUUUUCAGACUCUGAGAUGUGAUUCAAAUGAACUUACAAUAGAAUCUGGAUAAAGG